GACACGGUAAGGAUUGACGGACUGAAGGCUCUUUCUCGAUUCCGUGGAAAGUGGUGCAUGGCCGUUUUUGGUUGGUGGAUCGAUCCGUCUGGUUAAUUCCGUUAACGAACGAGACCUCGGCACUCCGAAUAGCGCGGCGGACGUCGCGGCCUCCGGGCCGUCUUCCGCACGAGCUUCUUAGAGGGACCGUCCCCCGCCGGGGAAGGAGGUGCGAGGCAACGACAGGUCUGUGAUGCCCUUAGAUGUUCUGGGCCGCACGCGCAUUACACUGACGCGUCCAACGGGUGACUCCCGACCCGAAGGGGCCGGGGAAUCCGCAAGGCGCGUCGUGAUGGGGAUUGAACGUUGCAAUUGUUGUUCACGAACGAGGAAUUCCUAGUAGGCGCGGGUCAUCAACCCGCGCCGAUUACGUCCCU
rnacentral:rRNA from 1 species